CCCAAAUCUAAAAUUCCAAAUCAGGAUCCCCAUUUUUCCCAGGGCUUGCUCGACUGCACGUGACUCUUCAAUCCUAGGCGCAGGCAAAGGUUCCUCGAGAAGAAGGUGAGUAGUCGAGUUUGCCCUCUUGCUUUGCGAACAUGUAGUUAUUUUUCUGGUUCCUGGAAGAAAAAUGGAAUAUGGUAAAGCAGAAUCCAGAUCAGUGUUAAUUUUAAAUUUUAGAUUCCUCCUUCCAGUUUAUUUUCUGUGAAUGCGUUGCUAAGAACGAAAAGAAUAAAAUAUUAGUGAACAGAGAGAAGUUUGCAAUUCUAAUAUGUUGUGGAAAGCAGUUUACUGGAAAUAUGGUUGCUUGAGGAAUUAGAUGAAAUAGAGAUUCUCAAAUGGGCAAAAAAUAAAAACAAAAUAAUUUGAACUCGCAACAGUUAGUUAUAUUGAUAAACAUCUAUCUUAAACAUUAAAAUUAGAAAAAUCCAUUGAAGUUUCUGCCUUCUGUUCACUAGCCUUAUAAUAUUUUAGUUAGAAACAAAUAAUCUAGGCAUGUAACCUUAACAGUUUAACUUAUUCAUGCAGUCGAGAUGUACUUACAUUGAAAAUUUUAGGGUCAUUUUACCAAGUUGGUCUCAUGCAAACUGCUACUGAUUGUUUCUUACUUAUUUCCACCAUAAGUUUGGCUUAUCAGCUUAUGCAAUACAUGGUUAAUUGGUUAUUGGACAUUGGUUAACAUGUGGCCGUAUAUUUUAAAUUAGCAAUAGGUUGCAUAAUACGCCAUUGAAUUUUGUAUUUACGCUGAUUUCGCCGAGGCCUAAUUUAUGGAAUUUGCCUAGGGCCCCGACAAUCACAGGACCGGCCCUGAAAGUACCUUACUCAUUUGAAGAUGAAGGAGAGGAUUCUCAUGAUGACACUUUCAUGGUCAUAUGAUCCGUCAAAUGUCUUCGUAUGCUGUGAUGUUCCUUGGAUUCUCCUUCACUGUUCUAUCUACCUUCCAAUUCAUGUAAUAGAUUCACGAGUCUGCAAUCGAAAUCCCGCACAUAGAAGAAUUCUUGAUUAUAUGGAGAAGAGAUUAAAGAUUACUUUUCAAGAAAAGGGCAAAAAUAAUACAACUGAUCUUGAUCCGAGCAUGUAUUUAUUGGAUAAAAAAGGCAUCAAAACACGGUGCAGAUAAAUGAGCAUAGAGAUAAUAAGUAACCACAAUUAAGCAUUUGUUUGUCAAUCAUUCUAUUACAUUCUACUACAUUAUUUUUUCUACAGUACUCAUUUUCAACUACACAUUGCUCAUUAAAAU
rnacentral:lncRNA from 1 species